rnacentral:rRNA from 1 species
UAAGGAAUAUUGGACAAUGGAGGCAACUCUGAUCCAGCCAUGCCGCGUGAAGGAAUAAGGCCCUAUGGGUUGUAAACUUCUUUUAGACGGGACAAAACCCCUUUACGUGUAAAGGGUUGAUGGUACUGUCAGAAUAAGCAUCGGCUAACUUCGUGCCAGCAGCCGCGGUAAUACGAAGGAUGCAAGCGUUAUCCGGAAUUAUUGGGUUUAAAGGGUGCGUAGGCGGACUAAUAAGUCAGUGGUGAAAGCCUGCAGCUUAACUGCAGAAUUGCCAUUGAUACUGUUAGUCUUGAGUACAGUUGAGGCAGGCGGAAUGUGUCAUGUAGCGGUGAAAUGCUUAGAUAUGACACAGAACACCGAUUGCGAAGGCAGCUUGCUAAGCUGUAACUGACGCUGAGGCACGAAAGCGUGGGGAGCAAACA